rnacentral:rRNA from 1 species
AGAUUAAGUUAUUAAGGGCGCACGGUGGAUGCCUUGGCACUAGAAGCCGAUGAAGGACGUUACUAACGACGAUAUGCUUUGGGGAGCUGUAAGUAAGCUUUGAUCCAGAGAUUUCCGAAUGGGGAAACCCAGCAUGAGUUAUGUCAUGUUAUCGAUAUGUGAAUACAUAGCAUAUCAGAAGGCACACCCGGAGAACUGAAACAUCUUAGUACCCGGAGGAAGAGAAAGAAAAUUCGAUUCCCUUAGUAGCGGCGAGCGAAACGGGAAGAGCCCAAACCAAAAAGCUUGCUUGUUGGGGUUGUAGGACACUCUAUACGGAGUUACAAAGGACGACAUUAGACGAAUCAUCUGGAAAGAUGAAUCAAAGAAGGUAAUAAUCCUGUAGUCGAAAAUGUUGUCUCUCUUGAGUGGAUCCUGAGUACGACGGAGCACGUGAAAUUCCGUCGGAAUCUGGGAGGACCAUCUCCUAAGGCUAAAUACUCUCUAGUGACCGAUAGUGAACCAGUACCGUGAGGGAAAGGUGAAAAGCACCCCGGAAGGGGAGUGAAAUAGAACCUGAAACCGUGUGCUUACAAGUAGUCAGAGCCCGUUAAUGGGUGAUGG